rnacentral:rRNA from 1 species
GACGAACGCUGGCGGCGUGCUUAACACAUGCAAGUCGAACGGAAAGGCCCUGCUUUUGUGGGGUGCUCGAGUGGCGAACGGGUGAGUAACACGUGAGUAACCUGCCCUUGACUUUGGGAUAACUUCAGGAAACUGGGGCUAAUACCGGAUAGGAGCUCCUGCUGCAUGGUGGGGGUUGGAAAGUUUCGGCGGUUGGGGAUGGACUCGCGGCUUAUCAGCUUGUUGGUGGGGUAGUGGCUUACCAAGGCUUUGACGGGUAGCCGGCCUGAGAGGGUGACCGGCGAGAUAUGGACAGGGAUCAGACCGAGCUCGAGAGGGGAGGAGGGAGGGGUGAUUAGGGCACGGGGGGCGGAAGCAUGAGGAAGGAGGACGGGGGGGGGGGGGACGGCCUCGGGUUGGUCAACGGUUGUGUCGGGAGGGGAGGGGUAGGUGGUGGUGAGGGGAAAGGAAGCGCAGGCUACCUACGUGCCGGCGGCGGUGGUAAUGGGAGGAAGAGCACACUUCUAAAC